rnacentral:rRNA from 1 species
AUGUCAGCUGGAGGAAAGGAGAUCUUACUUAAAGCGGUUGUUCAAGCUAUUCCCACCUAUGCAAUGUCGGUCUUUAAAAUUCCAAAAAAAAUUGCAAAGGAAUUAUUGACGCGAUGGCGCAUUUCUGGUGGGGAGAUGAGGACAACCAAAGGAGGAUGCAUUGGAUGGCUUGGUGGAAAAUGUGUGUACCCAAGAACCAAGGGGGAAUGGGUUUUCGGGAUAUCCAUUGUUUCAAUUUGGCUAUGCUUGCUAAACAGGCUUGGCGUCUUAUCGAGAAUCCGGAUUCUCUAUGUGCUAUUAUUUUGA